UCUUUCUUUGACGAUGUUGUCGGCGAGGAAACCCGCUGAACUUAAGCAUAUCAAUAAGCGGAGGAA
rnacentral:rRNA from 1 species